CAGCCGCCGCGGUAAUACGGAGGGGGCUAGCGUUGUUCGGAAGUACUGGGCGUAAAGCGCACGUAGGCGGCUUUGUAAGUCAGAGGUGAAAGCCUGGAGCUCAACUCCAGAAUUGCCUUUGAGACUGCAUCGCUUGAACGUCGGAGAGGUGAGUGGAAUUCCGAGUGUAGAGGUGAAAUUCGUAGAUAUUCGGAAGAACACCAGUGGCGAAGGCGGCUCACUGGACGACUGUUGACGCUGAGGUGCGAAAGCGUGGGGAGCAAACAGGAUUAGAUACCCCCGUAGUCCCUGUCUCUUAUAA
rnacentral:rRNA from 1 species